rnacentral:piRNA from 1 species
UCAGCCAUCUUGGAGGAAUUAUGAGGUGU